UACGGAGGGUGCAAGCGUUAUCCGGAUUCACUGGGUUUAAAGGGUGCGUAGGCGGAUAUGUAAGUCCGUGGUGAAAUCUCCGGGCUUAACCCGGAAACUGCCAUGGAUACUAUGUGUCUUGAAUGUUGUUGAGGUGAGCGGAAUAUGUCAUGUAGCGGUGAAAUGCUUAGAUAUGACAUAGAACACCAAUUGCGAAGGCAGCUCACUAAGCAAAUAUUGACGCUGAGGCACGAAAGCGUGGGGAGCAAACAGG
rnacentral:rRNA from 1 species